UACAGUUCCGAUGAUAUUUAGUUUCAUGACGUUGAUAUAACGUGCAACAAAAUUACUUCUAGGUAAAAUAGCUGUCUGGGUUAAACUUGCGUCUGAGUUUAAAUAGGCAUUAUCUAAACGGAAUUAAACGAAAUAAUUAUCGUUUGUAGCUUACUGACACGCGCAGGCUCUUGUUAACUCUGGAGGCGUUUCGUGCGGGAUUACGAACGACGCAGACAGCACGUCCCGUUUGCACCAACUACAGCUCUGCCCCAGCGCGCGCACAAGUGUACUGUUGGCGAGGAUAGAGAGCAAGGGGACAGGAUGGCAUCUCUUGGACUCAAGGCGAUUGUCGGCGAAAAGAUUAUGAACGAUGUCAUUAAGAAGGCGAAGAAGAAGGGAGAGUGGAAGGUUUUGGUGGUGGAUAAGCUGAGCAUGAGAAUGAUUUCAUCCUGCUGUAAAAUGACUGAUAUAAUGUCUGAGGGAAUCACUAUUGUUGAGGACAUAACCAAGCGACGUGAGCCUCUUCCUACCAUGGAGGCUAUAUAUCUCAUCACUCCAUCUGAUGAGUCAGUUGAAGGCCUCAUCAAUGACUUCAGAGACCCCCGUAAUCCCAUUUACAGGGGAGCCCAUGUGUUCUUUACAGAUGCAAUCCCAGACUCUUUAUUUAACUUGUUAAGUAAAUCCCGUGCCUCCAAACAAGUAAGGACACUGACUGAAAUAAACAUCGCCUUUCUGCCCUAUGAGUCUCAGGUGUUCUCAGUGGACAAAGCAGAUGCCUUCCAGGACUUCUACAGCCCGUUUAAAGCCGAUGUGAAGAACCAGUUGUUGGAGCGUUUAGCCGAGCAGAUUGCCACCCUCUGCUGCACACUAAAGGAGUACCCAGCUGUUAGAUACAGAGGAGAGUACAAAGACAACGGGACCCUGGCCCAGAUGCUACAAGACAAACUGGACGGUUAUAAAGCAGAUGACCCCACUUUAGGAGAGGGACCUGAUAAAGCUCGCUCGCAGUUAUUGAUUCUGGAUCGUGGUUUUGACCCUGUCUCACCACUUCUGCACGAGCUCACAUUACAGGCCAUGGCCUAUGACCUGGUGCCCAUUGAGAACGACGUCUACUCGUAUGAGACCAGUGGAAUGGGUGAAACUCGUAUGAAAGACGUCCUGUUGGAUGAAGAUGAUGACUUGUGGAUGACCCUGAGACAUAAGCACAUAGCAGAGGUGUCCACGGCUGUCACUAAAUCUCUUAAGGAUUUCUCCGCAAGCAAAAAGAUGAACACAGGAGAGAAGACCACAAUGAAAGAGCUCUCUCAAAUGCUUAAAAAGAUGCCACAGUACCAGAAGGAGUUAAGCAAGUAUUCCACUCACCUGCACUUAGCUGAAGACUGUAUGAAACAUUACCAGGGCACAGUGGACAAACUCUGUCGUGUCGAGCAGGAUCUAGCCAUGGGCACGGAUGCAGAGGGUGAGAAGAUCAAAGACCCCAUGAGAGCUAUCGUGCCCAUCCUACUCGACGCCAAUGUCACCAUUAUGGACAAGAUUCGUAUUAUCCUGCUCUACAUCUUUCUCAAAAAUGGUGUGUCAGAGGAGAAUCUCUGUAAACUCCUUCAGCAUGCACAGAUACCUCCAGAGGACAGUGACAUCAUCUCGAAUAUGGCUCAUAUGGGGAUUCCCAUCAUCUCAGAGCAAGUAACCACACGAAAAGGAAAGAAAACUGACCGGAAGGAAAGAAUCAGCGAGCAAACGUAUCAGCUCUCCAGAUGGACUCCUCUGAUUAAAGACAUCAUGGAGGACGCCAUUGAAGACAAACUGGACCCAAAACAGUUCCCUUACAUCUCCACACGCACAGCUUCCUCUAAAACCACCACAGCUUCCAGUGCCCGUUAUGGAAACUGGCAUAAAAACAAGAGCCCGGGGGAGAUACGCAAUGGCCCACGGAUCAUUGUCUUCAUCAUUGGUGGCAUGACCUACAGCGAGAUCCGCUGCGUCUAUGAGGUCACGCAGGCCAAUGGCAAAUGGGAGGCUCUUAUUGCUCAAAGAGACCUCUCUGACCUUCUGCACAGGGUCCACCCACACCACCACACCUGUUAAAUACCUGAAGCAUCUGCAGCACCCAGACUUCCUGGACCCCAACGCGGCCCCUGAAGACCAGCUUCCUCCUGAGGAUAAGUGAUCUAAACACGAAAUAAGAUUUUGCUGCCAUCAUUGCUUCCUCACCACCCUUAUAAUCCAAGCAGACUGUUGUCAGUUGUUGUUGUCAACGAUACAUCUUCACAUAGUAUAAUAUUAGGUAUGCACAUUGUAAACAGUAGGGUAUAGUCAAGUAUAUUUGCUCAUUCUUAACUAGCCAACAAAAGAUCUGGUAAGCUAAAUUAAAUACGGUAUACAGGGACAGUGUGCGUAAGUGUGAUAAAAACAUAAAGGACAUAUGUAAUUCUGCUUCAUUUCUAUGAUGGCUUCUUCAGACAUUAUUUAGGAUUUUUGGUAAUAAGGGAGCAGUUAAUGUUUAGGUUUAACUCACUGGUCGUUAAAACAUAAAAUCAUGUAAAUACUCCCAGUAUUUUUGUUAAGCACACAGUACAAGCAAAUUCUGCUGUGAGUGAUUAAGUAGUAAAGAUUGCUUUCUUUCACCUGCUAUGCACCGGUAUGAUGUAUGUGAUCAUGCUAAUAUUAGAUGUCUAUUGUCAACUGCUCUGUGUGGUUUUUAAUGUUCGUCAUUUGUAGCCUAGCUAUUAGAUUUGUAUAUAGUUAUCAUAUAUUAUAGAGUAAAACAUAUUUCUGUGAUGUAUACUGUGAUUUUAGACUUUUAUUUUUUAAAUGAAAUUUAGUACUUAUCAGCUUUGUAUUUUGUGCGGUAUGUAGGUCUAGUAUUUUUACUUUUUAUGUUGUGAUCUGUCGUUUAUUUAUUUACACUAAGAAUAUAAAUGUAAAUGUAUGCAACGUAUAUUAAUACUAUACAUAUGGCAUAUUUAAUGUUCUGAGCUCUAUUCACCACAAACAUUUGUGUUGUG